AGCGAACGCUGGCGGCAGGCCUAACACAUGCAAGUCGAACGAACUCUUCGGAGUUAGUGGCGGACGGGUGAGUAACACGUGGGAACGUGCCCUUUGGUACGGAAUAACUCAGGGAAACUUGAGCUAAUACCGUAUGUGCCCUUCGGGGGAAAGAUUUAUCGCCAUUGGAGCGGCCCGCGUCUGAUUAGCUAGUUGGUGAGGUAAAGGCUCACCAAGGCGACGAUCAGUAGCUGGUCUGAGAGGAUGACCAGCCACAUUGGGACCGAGACUCGGCACAAACUCCUACGGGAGGCAGCAGUGGGGAAUCUUGCGCAAUGGGCGAAAGCCUGACGCAGCCAUGCCGCGUGGAUGAUGAAGGUCUUAGGAUUGUAAAAUCCUUUCACCGGUGAAGAUAAUGACUGUAGCCGGAGAAGAAGCCCCGGCUAACUUCGUGCCAGCCGCCGCCGUAAUAC
rnacentral:rRNA from 1 species